GAGGGUAUAGCUCAGUGGUAGAGCAUAUGCUUAGCAUGCAUGAGGUCCUGGGUUCAAUCCCCAGUAUGUUCA
rfam:Camelus ferus unplaced genomic scaffold scaffold632, whole genome shotgun sequence.